rnacentral:sRNA from 1 species
UGACAAAAAAAGUGUGAAAAACAAUUAAGAUUUUAGACAAAAAAAAAAAACAAAAGCAAUUAAGGUUCCAGUAGGUUUACAUGUAUAAUGGCGGAAUAAUGUUUUCUUAGACUAUCUACAAUGGCUUAUUGAAAAAAUUUAUUCAAUAGUUGAAUGAUUACAAUGGGGUAUUGAAUAAAGAAAUGAAUCCUAUGUGGAUUAAAUAGUGUUGAAUCUAUUCAACAAUGUUGAAUCUUUAAAAAUGGAUCCUUCAUUGCCACUUGUCAUUAAAUAAUUGGAGACAGAAAUUGUGGGGGAGAGUUAAAUAAAGAUAGGACAUGUGUUGUUCUUUUAUUUGCUACUGAAAUUUCUUAUAUUUUAUUUUCCUCUGAAUUAUUGGAGAUCAAUUAUCUUAUAAAAUAUUUAUUUGUUUUAAAUUAUUUUU